AGAUCCCCUUUUCUCUGUCUAUUUCCCCCUUUUUUUAGGAUAUUGAGUGAACUUUUGAUGUUUUGAUCUACUGAUGAACUAGGUGAUGUGAAAUUUGUGAACUAAUUAGCUUACCAUAAGUUAAUGAACACUUAAUUCAUACUGCUAGAAUUUUGUGAUAUAUAGAUCAGCACCUUCUGUGAUUUGGGGACACUUUUUAUGUGCCAAGCAGAAAUAUUCCAGCAGUUUGUUUGUGCAGUACAUCAGUUUUAGUAUCAUCACUUUGAGAAAUAUAUUAUACUAGUGCAACCUGUAUUCAAGGGCGGAGCCCCUAAUAAUUCGCCCCCCUCAAUGAAUUGGAGCACGUAAUAUCAGUAGGAUACGAAUUAAUCACCGUGUACUAAUGGUUCUAUGUAUGCACCAAGGCCCCACUAAAAAAAGCCAAUGAUUAAGCUAUUGCUGUAUUUAGCUUCUCCAUCUCGUUGCUCAUGACCCAGCGUCGUAGUUUCUCUAAAAAAGCCUAGCACCGCACGUUAACUCAGAUCGAUGGGCCCAUCAUUGUGAAAGUGGAUUCGCCCUAUUUGUGUAUGAGUGAGCACCGCACGUCGCCGAUGGAUUUUACGCCAGCUGCUACGGUGCUAGUCACGGGGGGCUCUUAAUGCUGUCGCGAUGCCAAGCUGAUUUUCCCAAGUAGAUUGAUCUUUAAAUCUGAAUGUAUAUAGGUGCACAGACCUACUAGUAGCUAGUUCAUUUCAGUAUGAAUUUUAAUCUACUAAUCUGGUUUUCCUCAUACAUUGCAUAAUAGCAGCAAAAUGAAUCACUAAUUUGGUGUAUAUCUUUUUAAUCCGCGUCUGGUAAUUCUGAUUAGUCUAAAUUCAAUCAAUACCCAUUCACUUACUUGCGCAUUUGUUAGCAUAUAAUUCAUGCUUGAGUUAACAAUCCAAUUCUAAUGUUGGAGCAAACUUAGUUCGUGUUUGUUUAAUAUGGGUGAGCUGAGGCCCUAAUGGUUGGAUGUUAAUCCAAAGACAGAAAAAUGCCAAAAUAAAAAUACAAAACUUACAAUUGGCACAUCCUUACAUAACUUUGUUAUGACACAAGAACGAAGGGAAGGACACAAACAAUAAUUGAUACCAGAUAUUAUGUGAUGUUUUAUCUUUUAUGCGAUCAUAUUUUGCUUCACCUCCUCAUGUCUAAAUCCUAGCUUCGCCCAUGCUUAUAUUUGCAUUCUAAGUUUGUUACUUUAUCACAUUCAUGUGUGCAUUAGGAAAGUAAAUAUUCACAUGUAGAAUGGUUGUAGAAUGGCUACAUCGGUUAAGGUCCAAGUCCAAACAAAUUUAAGCAAAAUUCAUUUAGUUUGUGUUGAUAACCAUAGGAUGGAAGGUAUUUUGGAAAUUCAUUUGGUUCUAUUCCCUGUCAUCUUUUGCAGUUUCACAUAAUACAAUCAUGCUACUAGUUUUGUAGAUUGAGGGAAAGGAUGGCAUUUCUUGAGGAAGAUAAAGGCAUGGUUGAUGCGUGUGCUAGGCCAAGGGAUGCACAUAUUGCAUUGGGAGGACUUAAUUGUGAGACUUGAAGCACAAGAGAGAGUGCUUGAAGAGAUGGAGAAGAAACAACAAGAAGAAUUUGAAGCUGUGAAGAAGAGCCAACAAGACAAGAGUGAAGCCGGGGGAAAGAAGCAACAUGAAAUGGAUAAACUAAUGGCUUUUUCUCUCAAGUGCUCAAGCAACUUUAGUCUGAGUCCAAACCUGUGUGACUGAUUUGUGGUUAUCUAAAUGGUACUUUGCAACUUGUCUAUUGUAGCGAGUGCUAAAACUUGUGAAUUUGGCUAAGAUGAUUGCACUUAUAAUGUGAUUUGUCUUUUAUUUAAACUUA